UGACCUCUGACCUCAAAUCAGGUAGGACUACCCGCUGAACUUAAGCAUAUCAAUAAGCGGGAGGA
rnacentral:rRNA from 1 species